UUUUUUUGUAGAGAUGGGUCUCACUAUGUUGCCAAGGCUGAUCUCGAACUCCUGACCUCAAGUGAUGCUCCUGCCUUGGCCUCCCAUCGUGUUGGGAUCAGAGGCGUGAGCCACCUCACCUGGCCUGGAUUAUUUAUUCUACUCGCCAAUUGUCUGUCUUCCCCAGUGGACUGCUCUGUCUUGUUCAGCCCUAUAAGGAACAAGGUGACCUGUUCUUUUGAGCUUGACCAGAGGGCAGAGGUAGAACAAGGAAAGCCUACGACGGGAAGAAAGAUUGGAGUGGAUUGAGAAGAAGAAGGAUGAACAGCUGGAUUAGAGAAAUUGAGGCAGGCUGCGGAGACUCAAGGAGGUUUCCAAGGGCGAAGGGCCACGGGCAGAAGACGAGUGGAGCUGCACUGAGCAGGUCCUGGCAGGGAGGACUGGGGCUGGAAUA
rnacentral:lncRNA from 1 species